UGGGGAAUCUUAGACAAUGGGGGAAACCCUGAUCUAGCCAUGCCGCGUGAGCGAUGAAGGCCUUAGGGUUGUAAAGCUCUUUCGGGGGGGAAGAUAAUGACGGUACCCCCAGAAGAAGCCCCGGCUAACUCCGUGCCAGCAGCCGCGGUAAUACGGAGGGGGCUAGCGUUGUUCGGAAUUACUGGGCGUAAAGCGCACGUAGGCGGGACGGAAAGUCAGAGGUGAAAUCCCGGGGCUCAACCCCGGAACGGCCUUUGAAACUUCCGUUCUUGAGGUCUGGAGAGGUGAGUGGAAUUCCGAGUGUAGAGGUGAAAUUCGUAGAUAUUCGGAGGAACACCAGUGGCGAAGGCGGCUCACUGGCCAGAUACUGACGCUGAGGUGCGAAAGCGUGGGGAGCAAACAGG
rnacentral:rRNA from 1 species